rnacentral:tRNA from 1 species
UUAGGGUAUAAUGUAAUUGGCUAACAUAUUUGCUUUGGGUGUAAAAAAUUAUAGGUUCAAAUCCUAUUACCCUAAA